rnacentral:rRNA from 1 species
UACGUAGGGGGCAAGCGUUGUCCGGAAUCAUUGGGCGUAAAGAGCGCGUAGGCGGUCCGGUAAGUCCGCUCUGAAAGUCCGGGGGCUCAACCCCGGGAGGCGGGCGGAUACUGUCGGGCUAGAGUCCGGAAGAGGCGAGUGGAAUUCCUGGUGUAGCGGUGAAAUGCGCAGAUAUCAGGAGGAACACCGGAGUGGCGAAAGGCAGG